rnacentral:rRNA from 1 species
GACGAACGCUGGCGGCGUGCCUAAUACAUGCAAGUUGAGCGAUGAAGAUUGGUGCUUGCACCAAUUUGAAGAGCAGCGAACGGGUGAGUAACGCGUGGGGAAUCUGCCUUUGAGCGGGGGACAACAUUUGGAAACGAAUGCUAAUACCGCAUAACAACUUUAAACAUAAGUUUUAAGUUUGAAAGAUGCAAUUGCAUCACUCAAAGAUGAUCCCGCGUUGUAUUAGCUAGUUGGUGAGGUAAAGGCUCACCAAGGCGAUGAUACAUAGCCGACCUGAGAGGGUGAGCGGCCACAUUGGGACUGAGACACGGCCCAAACUCCUACGGGAGGCAGCAGUAGGGAAUCUUCGGAAAUGGACGAAAGUCUGACCGAGCAACGCCGCGGGAGGGAAGAAGGUUGUCGGAUCGUAAAACUCUGUUGGUAGAGAAGAACGUGGGUGAGAGUGGAAAGCUCAUCAAGUGACGGUAACUACCCAGAAAGGGACGGCUAACUACGUG